ensembl:lncRNA
GUAGAAAUACAGCUAUUUGACAAGUAUUACUGUCUAUCUACAUCCUUCAGUAGAACUCCUGAGAGCAGUGCUGUCAGUUUUUUCUCACCUUGGAGAAGCUUCUUAGUCAUAUAUUAUAAAGGGUUGAACAGAGAUGAUGGGUUGGACCUCAGUCAGCUCAUGACCAGCUCAUGACCAAGCUCAUCACAUGCCCUUGUGAUGAAGUUGUCUUUAGUAAAGAAGCCUUUACAAAUCUUGGUCCAGCCAUGCAAGGAACACAGAUGGUGAGUUAUGUGUGGUUUGAACUGAAAAUAUGCCAAAUGAUAAAUAUAUAAACAUCCGGACCACAUGGCCAUAUCUGAUUAAGACCAGAACAGGAGGCUUCAUGGUGUUCACCUGUCAGUGUGCUGAGACGAAGCCACUAUACAAAGAGUGUAAGGAUCCUGUUCAAGGUCACACACAUGGUAUGUGGCUGAGCUCUGAGUCAGGCCAGGCAGACUGGUUCCUGAGCCUGUUCUGACCCCUGAAGUUCACAUGGACAAGUUUAGUGUCCUCCCUAAAGCUUUCCUCCUUGAAAUCUUGGAUGAGAUGGGACACUGAGAUUUCCUUAUGUGUCAGAGAAGAUAAACCUUCAUCAGAGGGUGAGUUGGUCCAUGUUGACCUGCAUCCCAGCUCUGGGGUACAGGGUUCUGCCUGAACACAGCCUGCAAGCCCUGGGUUAACCUCUCCUUCCAGCCC